rnacentral:lncRNA from 1 species
GGUUAUUCCAAAACCUGUGUCACUCUCAUGUGAGGCUGGCUGAAUCAUCCCAAUGGUCUGUACAAUGAACAGGUCAGCACCUAGCCUAAUUAUCAUCAGAGAAACAUCUUUCAGAAACUGAUGGGAGCAGAUGGCGAGAUCCACAGCCAAACAAAAGGCAGAGCCUGGGGAACUGCUGAGGAAGAAAGAAAGGAGGAUUGCAGGAGCCAGAGGAGUUGAGGACACCAUGAGAACACAGAGACCUAACCAACCAUCAUGGACCCUGUUGAGACACCCACUCCCGCCCCUGAGGAAGCUGGGAUUGGGGGGGUGCAAUCCUCCAUGUCUUAGAACUGUGUGAAGGAGAGAAGAGAAGAAAGUAUCCCUGGAAGAAGAACUGAACAUGCAAGAGGGAAAACCAGAGCAACCAUGUAAAGGGACCAAGAGAAUGCAGCCCAGAGGGCUGCUCAGUUGUGUCAAAAGCAGUCAAGAUGAACCAGAAGUAAGUAAUGAUGGGAU